rnacentral:rRNA from 1 species
UGAACGCUAGCGGCAGGCUUAACACAUGCAAGUCGAGGGGUAUAGUUCUUCGGAACUAGAGACCGGCGCACGGGUGCGUAACGCGUAUGCAAUCUACCUUUCACAAAGGGAUAGCCCAGAGAAAUUUGGAUUAAUACCUUAUAGUAUAGCGACUUCGCAUGGAGAUGCUAUUAAAGAUUUAUCGGUGAAAGAUGAGCAUGCGUCCCAUUAGCUAGUUGGUAAGGUAACGGCUUACCAAGGCUACGAUGGGUAGGGGUCCUGAGAGGGAGAUCCCCCACACUGGUACUGAGACACGGACCAGACUCCUACGGGAGGCAGCAGUGAGGAAUAUUGGUCAAUGGGCG